AUGAGGGUCUCCAGUUGCUCAUACUAUGGUCAAGACUCUCCAGUUUAUGAAAAUAAUUCGAGGAUAGUCUACCAAUUCGAAUUAUCGUUUGCUAUAGUAGAAAUAACAGAACUCAAACUUUCAAGUAGUGGAAACUCAAUCAAAUUUGUAACUGUCUCAAUAGAAUCUUUUCCCCCUUUUUUUUUCUUUCUAAAUGUUCUGUUAAGAUCAUUCCAAGGCUCCUUUUCGCCAUGCAUAAACUAA
rnacentral:rRNA from 1 species